UACGUAGGUGGCAAGCGUUGUCCGGAUUUACUGGGCGUAAAGAGCGCGCAGGCGGUCGUUCAAGUCGCGUGUGAAAGCCCCCCGGCUCAACUGGGGGAGGGUCACGCGAUACUGAUCGACUCGAAGGCAGGAGAGGGUAGUGGAAUUCCCCGGUGUAGUGGUGAAAUGCGUAGAUAUCGGGAGGAACACCAGUGGCGAAGGCGACUACCUGGCCUGUUCUUGACGCUGAGGCGCGAAAGCUAGGGGAGCAAACGGG
rnacentral:rRNA from 1 species